rnacentral:rRNA from 1 species
UAGGGAAUCUUCCACAAUGGACGAAAGUCUGAUGGAGCAACGCCGCGUGAGUGAAGAAGGUUUUCGGAUCGUAAAGCUCUGUUGUUGGUGAAGAAGGAUAGAGGCAGUAACUGGUCCUUUAUUUGACGGUAAUCAACCAGAAAGUCACGGCUAACUACGUGCCA